AUUGAACGCUGGCGGCAUGCCUUACACAUGCAAGUCGAACGGCAGCGGGGACUUCGGUCCGCCGGCGAGUGGCGAACGGGUGAGUAAUGUAUCGGAACGUACCAUUGAGUGGGGGAUAACGUAGCGAAAGUUACGCUAAUACCGCAUAUUCUCUCCGGAGGAAAGCAGGGGACCGCAAGGCCUUGCGCUCUUUGAGCGGCCGAUAUCAGAUUAGCUAGUUGGUGAGGUAAAGGCUCACCAAGGCGACGAUCCGUAGCGGGUCUGAGAGGAUGAUCCGCCACACUGGAACUGAGACACGGUCCAGACGCCUACGGGAGGCAGCAGUGGGGAAUUUUGGACAAUGGGGGCAACCCUGAUCCAGCCAUGUCGCGUGAGUGAAGAAGGCCUUCGGGUUGUAAAGCUCUUUCAGCCGGGACGAAGCGCCGGUAAUGGUGGUGACGGUACCCGCAGAAGAAGCACCGGCCAACUACGUGCCAGCAGCCGCCGUAA
rnacentral:rRNA from 1 species